CUCCGACAAAGUUAUCCCCGAGAGAAGUAAAGCAAGUGUUUCGCUCUCUCUCUCGCCAGGGCAGAACUCAUUAUGGGUUCACGCCCUUGGCCCACACCCUCGGAGGAGGAAACACCUGUGCCUCAUCAGUGUGGAUGGCAUUUAAGCCAGGAAGCAACGGCUGUUCUUCGCUGGAUCGUUGUGAGAAUUGCACCCUCUGGACUGUUUUCCCUGGUGUUCCCUGAGUGACGAGUGUUCGAGUGGAUUUGUGUUUGGAUUGUUUGGAGAGAGACGAGAGUGUUCAGCUGGAUUUCCCCCAGAGCCCUGCCCCUCUCACCCUUUGUAGAUAGCACUGCCCCGCACCUUUUGUAUUCAUUGGACAUUGUUCAUUAAUAAAUUCUCUUGUGUGGCUCAAUCCCCGGAGUCCAGCGCGUGAGUCCACCUUGUACACCGUGACAAUUUCCCGUCUAUUGUGAGUCUGACAGUUUCAACUGAAUGUAAUACUGAAUCGGUUUUAUUUCUACAAGU
ensembl:lncRNA